CCUCGAUCCAGCGGUAGGUGUUCGGCGGGCAGAAACAAUCUGGGCGGCAAAGCAAACAAUACCAUGCAUCGAGACUACAACAUCUAAAAGACGACUGGAACUAAGCUGUCUGGAUAGAGCUACAAAGAAGAGAUACAUACAGUGAACACCUUCUUUGGACGAUAGUGCAGAGUUGAGACACAUAUCACAAGCAAAACAGGAGCAUGAUGCAAAUCAAAUAAGUUCCAAAAGAAAGGAUGUUGGCAUUAACUCAAUAGUAGAUUCCUUGGUGGUCUGCUGAGGAUGUGCUAAGGAUGAAGCUAUGCACCCACAAUAAACUGCCCCGACAUCUUCUUCCUUGAUCGCAAAAAUAUGUAAUUUGUUUUUUAAGUUUGUAUUUGAAUAGAGGCUGAAGUUUCAAAACAUAUAUCUUCUAUAUAUAAGCUUGGAACUCUGGUAGUGAAA